AUGCCCGUUCCAUGGAUGAGGGCACUGAAGCUCAGAGGGAACAACAGUUCCAGCCCGCUGGCCUGGGCGGGGGUGGGCGUGGAGAAGGCAGGUUUGUCUGGCUGCAGCUGCGGGCAGAUGGGAAGGCUCGCGGGCGCGGCCCCGGGGCAGACGCCCGGGUCCCCCGCGGCGGCUGGAGCGUCCACGUGGGCGGCGCGGGGCGACAGACUGGGCGGGGGCUGGCGGCGGCGGCAGCGCGGGAGGGAGCCGGGCGUGCGGGUGAACUGGCAGGGCGGCUCCGCUCCGCAAGCAGAGAGAGCGCCGGGUUGCCGGAGCAGGGUUUGGAUUAACGCUCAGGAAGAUGUCUUGAGCCCAAAGCUGAGUGAAGGUCCCAUCCAGGUACCGCCCUUGAGGCUACUUGGGUCUUCCAGGUGUCUGCAGGACCAAACUCAGACCAGAAUUGCCUCUGCAUGCCCGCUGCCACUGCCUUCUCCCUACUGCCUCUGUGCGCGUUCUGCAGAAGGAAUCU
rnacentral:lncRNA from 1 species